rnacentral:RNase_P_RNA from 2 species
CAAGGUGACCGGGUGGUCGCCCAUUUGGGAGGAAAGUCCGGACUUCACUAGGAAGGGUGCUGGGUAACACCCAGGAGCUUAGCUACGGAAAGUGCCACAGAAACAAUUCUGCCAGAUAAUUACUGGUGAGGGUGAAACGGUGCGGUAAGAGCGCACCAGGCCGUCGGUGACGCCGGUGCUGGCAAACCCCACCCGAAGCAAGGCCAAAUAGGGAAACGAUGCGGACCUAGACGCGUUUCCGGGUAGGCUGCACGACUUUGUCGGUAACGGCAAAGCUAGAUAGAUGACCACCACCCUUUAGGGGUACAGGAUCCGGCUUACAGGUCGCCUUGACUU